rnacentral:tRNA from 1 species
GUCGUGGUGGCUGAGCGGUGAAGCGCUUGGCUUACGAGCCAAUGAGUCUCGAGUUCGAAUCUCGAUGUAGACU